GUGUGUGUGUGUGUGUGUGUGUGUGUGAUUUAUUUUUUUUUAACCCUUAAGAACACUAAAUGGUCAUUGAUGGUGCUUUGAUGAACAUGUUUUGGUAAGACAGAAUCUUUCUAGUCAUCCAAAUAUAGUCCAAACGACACUGACACGACAAGAGAGCUGGAGGUCGGGUGGACUAGAGUUGACUGAUCGAUGUGGUUGGUGGUGGGAGUUCACAACGUUCCCGUCUUGGAAUGCCACACAGUACUAAGGAGAUUAUGGGGAGACACAAAUCUAUGAUCUUAAUUUGGAAUUACAUUUCCCAAUAAGCCUGAUUCAGGCCACCCAAGGAAGUGAUCCAAGAAACAAGGUACUGAAAAUUGCUUUUAAAACACUGGGUUUAAUAUUUUUUGUUUUAAUUACAUUUUUGUGUGUUCGGAUUGCCGUCCCAAUUAGCAGCUGAGUGUGAAGCAGAUACUUCAAGGCGAAUUAGGACCAGAUUCAUCUCCUCUCAUCAGCUGCUGGCCCAGACUCACCUUUGGCCUGGACUACUGACUGAAUGAAUGAAUGAGUGAGUGUGUGUGUGUGUGUGUGUGUGUGUGUGUGUGUGUGUGUGUGUGUGUGUGUGUGAGUGUGUAAGAGUAAGCGAGUGAGUGUUUAUGAGUGAGUGAGUGAAUGAAUGAAUGAGUGAAUGUGUAUGAGUGAGUGUGUAUAAAUUAAUGAAUGAGUGAAUGUGUAUGAGUGAGUGAGUGAGUGAGUGAGUGAGUGAGUGAGUGUGUGUGUGUGUGUGUGUGUGUGUGUGUGUGUGUGUGAGUGAGUGAGUGUGUAUCAGUGAGUGUGUAUCAGUGAGUAUGGAGUGAAUGAGUGAGUGUGUGAGUGAGUGAGUGUGGACUGAGUGUUGCACAGAUUCACUUUUAUUAACAAAUUUCACGGAAGUUUGCACUGAUUGACCGUGUCCUUAUGAUAUUGUUUUGUUUAUUUGUUGCUUUUAUUGUUGUCUCAAAACGGUCAGUGCCCGUGUACAUGAUCCCCCGCAUCUCACUGUGCUGUUCUCUCCCCCUGAGUCCCAGACUGGAUGGACUUCUGUAAAACAAUGAAGGCAAAGCACUCCAGCAGGUGUGACGGGACAGGUGCACUCUAGCAGGUGUGACGUGACAGGUGCACUCUAGCAGGUGUGACGGGACAGGUGCCGCAGCUCUGAACAAAGUCUACCUUCAACACAUUUCAACACAAUACACAACACUAUCUUGCAGACCCACAUACACACAGAUAAAUGUGCAUUUCUGUGGGAACUUGUCCCAGUACGACAUCGAGCCAUGUUAAGAUUCAGCACCCAGCAAAGGGAGUGGUGUUCUGAGAAGCAUUUGUGGCGUAUGAUAUGAGAGAACUGCCGCAUCUGUUACAUAGUGUAUUCACCUGCUCACACACACACACGCACACUCACUCACAAUCGACACGCACACUCACUCACAUACGCACACACACUCCACCCUUUACAGGACUGACUCUGCCUUUACCCCCAAAAAUAAAAUAAAAUUCUCUUAUGAAUCUAUGCUACUGUGAAAUGAUGGUUUUCUGUUUUUUUGUCAUCAAAGAUAUAAGCAAGAGCCAAAACAGAUAUGUGUAUGUGUACACAGGCAUUUGUAUAGGCAGUAUGCUAUCAAAUGUUAAGGAGUAAGUAUUCAUAGACUGUAAAAUCCCAAUAGGUAUGAGUUGACCGCAACUGCAAUGUUUCACCACUAGGGGGAGAAGUUGUCAAGCAGAUUGUUUGUACAGCGUCAAAGUGAAGGCUUCCAAAAAACCUCUUCCCUCAGGCUUUGGGUUGCCUUCUGUCCAAAUGCUUCCAACUAGCCAUUAAAUUCCCCCCCAAGCUUAUUAUGUAAUUAUGUGAAUAAUUUAGGAUUUGGAAUCAAAUCUAGGCCACAUGCUCUGGUAAAUGUGGUUAAUAUAAUUAGAUUUUGCUUUGCAUGCAUUGUCACUAUCCUUGGAGUAACUCUAACUGACAUGCAGGCCAGGUUCAGGCCAGUUCACUGCCUUCUCAGUAGAAAUCCAACUGAAAACUGAGCUGAGAAAGCCAGCACUAGACUAUAUAAUGAGUCCGUUCGAAACAGAAGUUUGCUGCCUUGUUGCUGUAAUAGACAGGUGUAUCAUAAGGCUUAAUACGGCAGACCCAGUGGGUCCGAUCGAACCAGAAGGUUGCUGCCUUGAUGCCUCACUGUCGUGUUAGACACCCCACUGAGACAGCAUGUUACCGUUUGGAAGGGACCCAGUGACCACAGGAGAGUUGAAGGGGCCCAGUGACCACAGGAGAGAUGAAGGGGCCCAGUGACCACAGGAGAGAUGAAGGGACUACAGGAGAGAUGAAGGGACCCAGUGACUAAGGGGCCCAGUGACCACAGGAGAGUUGAAGGGACCCAGUGACCACAGGAGAGUUGAAGGGACCACAGGAGAGAUGAAGGGACUACAGGAGAGAUGAAGGGACUACAGGAGAGUUGAAAGGGUCCAGUGACCACAGGAGAGAUGAAGGGACCACAGGAGAGUUGAAGGGACCCAGUGACCACAGGAGAGAUGAAGGGACUACAGGAGAGUUGAAGGGGCCCAGUGACCACAGGAGAGAUGAAGGGACCACAGGAGAGAUGAAGGGACUACAGGAGAGUUGAAGGGACCACAGGAGAGUUGAAGGGGCCCAGUGACCACAGGAGAGUUGAAGGGACCCAGUGACCACAGGAGAGUUGAAGGGGCCCAGUGACCACAGGAGAGUUGAAGGGGCCCAGUGACCACAGGAGAGUUGAAGGGGCCCAGUGACCACAGGAGAGUUGAAGGGACCACAGGAGAGUUGAAGGGACCCAGUGACUAAGGGGCCCAGUGACCACAGGAGAGUUGAAGGGACCACAGGAGAGAUGAAGGGGCCCAGUGACCACAGGAGAGAUGAAGGGACCACAGGAGAGAUGAAGGUUGAAGGGGCCCAGUGACCACAGGAGAGAUGAAGGGGCCCAGUGACCACAGGAGAGUUGAAGGGGCCCAGUGACUACAGGAGAGAUGAAGGGGCCCAGUGACUACAGGAGAGUUGAAGGGACCACAGGAGAGAUGAAGGGGCCACAGGAGAGUUGAAGGGACCACAGGAGAGUUGAAGGUUGAAGGGGCCCAGUGACUACAGGAGAGAUGCAGUUAGGACAUGCUGAAGAGGAAGUCCACGCGUAAAUAUCACAUGGGUAGAAGCCGUGGAUAGGUGAUCGGUUUGGCUUUACACUGCCUAUAAACACUGCAGGAGCAGGAUCCCAUUGAUUGAUUGAUUGAUUGAUUCGUGGGUCUGCGGAUCACUUUUUAUUAUUAAUAAUCAAACAAUAAUAAUUUAUUUAAAUGUAUUAUUAUUCAGCACUUAGUACAAUAGCCUUGUAACAAAGGGCUUUUAUUUUUACGCAAAUUAAAAUGAACUAUUCUGCAUUUCAAGAGCUGAUCUGCAUUGGUGUGUAUGUAGUUCAUAAACAAGCUAGAUACUGGUUAGUCAGCUGAAUAAUGAAGAAAGAAUGAAAACAAGAGGAGGAAGUUCUUCAAAAAAAGGGUUCUUUAUUACUCCACAGCCCACGAGGAAGAGUAAUACAUUCAGAGAGUUCUAAAGCGCCAACAGACUUCUUUGGCUCCGGCAAUGAUUGACAUAUCAUGACACGACAGGAAUCACCACACACACA
ensembl:lncRNA